UACGGAGGGUGCAAGCGUUGUUCGGAAUUACUGGGCGUAAAGAGCGUGUAGGCGGUAUGGUAAGUCAGAUGUGAAAGCCCUGGGCUUAACCCAGGAAGUGCAUUUGAUACUGCUAUUCUUGAGUAUGGGAGAGGAGAGUGGAAUUCCCAGUGUAGAGGUGAAAUUCGUAGAUAUUGGGAGGAACAUCCGUGGCGAAGGCGACUCUCUGGACCAAUACUGACGCUGAGACGCGAAAGCGUGGGGAGCAAACAGGAUUAGAAACCCUGUAGUCC
rnacentral:rRNA from 1 species